GCAGAAGUUGCAGUGAGCCAAGAUUGCGCCACUGCACUCCGGCCUGGGUAACAGAGUGAGAGACUCCAUCUCAAAAAAAAAAAAAAAAAAAAAAAAUCAGAAACAUAAAUGUAAAGGCCAUGAUUUUUAGACAAGGGUCUUAAAAAUAUUCCUUAUAGAUGUGCUACAAAAAAUAUUUUUGACAUACACAACCCAGUAGUCCUUUCUUCUAUCAUUCAGUAGUUUUUAAAUCUGUAUCACUGAGGUGAGAGCAUUAGCAGAUCACUGCCCUCAGAAAUUGAAGUGCAAGGCAAGGAGAAAAGUAAAGCAUGGCACCCUAAAGGUCAGGAAAAGAGAAGUGCUGGAAUAGAAAAACUGGAAUAGAAAAUAAGGCCACAGAAGAGAGAAAAGGUUGAAGGGACACAAAGAGGUGUAUAGAGAAAGUCAUUAUGUGCCUUUCCCCGAUUUACAAUAUAUUUUCUCCAGUUAUCUAUGACAUUAUUCUGUAUAUACCUGGUUAGAUGUUAACUCCUGCCUGAACCUAGUGUGGGUUAUUUUGGUAUUUCUUUAGAGACUACUCAGUUUUUCUCUCAUAACUUUUCUACUAAUAUCUCAUCUAUCUUCCUCACCUUCUUCACUUGACAGGAAUCUUGGUACCAAUAAUUGCAGAGGUAGAAGUCAGAGGUAAAUAUUGAUUUAGCUAUGGGAUAAUCUUUCUCAACCCUAUCCCUAAUCACUCCCAUUGAUAUGUAAACAUGUUAGAAAAUAAGUGUUUCAUGAAUUCACACAUAUUCAGGGUUUAGAUACAACCUCUACAGAGGUUGGCCAGGACCUCUUGAAAUGACUGUCACUUCUCCUUCAUGGCUUGGGGUUGCAAAACUGAUCAGUUUAUCUGUACCUAGGUUUCCAGUAGCUAGCAGUUGGUACCAGUUAAACCAGAAAUUGUUUCAUUUCCCUUAUGAUAAUAUAGCUCUAUUCCAUAAUUAUAAUUCUACACCCUAACUCCAACCCACUGUCUUCCAUUGUACAAGAUAAAAGACAAUGCUGGUCAAUAAAAAUUCCUUGCUUCUCUUAGGAAAACCUCUCUAUUACUGAUGGUGGGUUGGGUUAGGAAUUUUAUAGUAUUCCAAAGAGAGCAUAUAAAAAGGCCUUUUCUCAAAAGCCUUCCUUUUUCUUCCCUCUUGUCACUCAGUACCAGAUAUGGGGUCGGGGUUACAAGUACACUAUAUGAAAGAAUGAGUUUCAAUAUAAAUGGAUAUUCCAUGUUGAACUAAGCUACUCUAUUAAAAUCAGAUUCAAGUUUUUGUUUCAAAUUACCAAGUUUUUCAUACUUCCCUAAUUUCUUCAUCUACUACAGACAGGAUUAAAAUGACUCAAAGGUAUUCCAAUCAAGUGGAGAAACCUAAAGGAAAAAUUUAGUUAUCCUAAAAAGCCUUGGCCUAAGAAAAAAUAAGGCAGAUGACAGCCAGACAGGAUUCCUCCUACCCUCUUCCUUUUAACUGACCCACUACUGACAGAUCCAUACAAUACAGCAUGUUAUAAAUUUGGGUUAAGAAGGGAUUGCAGUUGGAAAAAAAUAGAGUUCUCUAUAAACACUAUGAAACAGUUACAUUUAAAACAUACUAGAAUUGUCCCACAAAUGUAUAUUUCAGAAGAAGUUUAUUAAGAGGUUUUAGGCUUUAAGCAUAUGUGAAAAGCAAAAAUUACAUUUUAAAGUAUAUAAUUUGCAUUUUCCACCUUCUCAAUGCCAAUGAAAUAUUCUAGGAGACUCUAUAAGAUAACCAAUUGAUUUUCUACUACUCCCAAAUUUUAACUUUGUAAUUUAAAGAGGAAUAGGCAAAUAGAGCUGCUGUGGUUCUGGUUCUCCCUGCAGGAUGAAGGGGGCCUGCAAAAUGUCUCCUACUUCCAUUCUAGUCAUUCAGCAAGGUGCCUUCCUCUGGAUGCACUGUCUGUAUACUUUUGCCAUGUUGCAUCACAUAAUGAUUCUGCCC
rnacentral:lncRNA from 1 species